AUGGAAACACCUGUUCCCAUACGAUCACCGACGUUUAGCAACGUCGAGACUGGUCAGUACUUACAUGGGCGACCGCUUGAGAAUACCAAAGCGUUGUAAG